UAAGAUUGUUGAAAGACUCAGAGACAUGUACCAUGAAUUGGGUAUAUUCCGCAAGCUGCGGCACACAUGGUCUGCCUCCGUGUCGUCCUACCUGCUUCAGGGCCCUCUACUUCUUCCCCCAAGAUUGCCAUUAUGAUUAACAAAUCUGACGAGAGCAAUUUAAUUGGUGACACAUCAUAUUUAUUCUGCAACUGCAUGUGAAUUCUCAUCUUGCGCCUACCUCUUUUGCUUACCAGUGAAGAUGGAGAGCUUUAGGCAAAAAAAGAAA